GGCGUACGGGAGAGUAACACGUAAGUAAUCUACCCUUGGGUGGGGAAUAACUUAGGGAAACCUAAGCUAAUACCGCAUAAUGCAGCGGCUCCAUAAGGAGACAGUUGUUAAAGCAUUUAUGUGCCUAAGGAGGAGCUUGCGGCAGAUUAGCUAGUUGGUAAGGUAACGGCUUACCAAGGCGACGAUCUGUAGCCGGUCUAAGAGGACGGUCGGUCUCACUGACACUGAAUAACGGGUCAG
rnacentral:rRNA from 1 species